GGAUCCGUGGCUUAAUUGUUGCAGCUUCUGUCUCGAAAGCAGAAGGUUCAGGGAUCAAAUCCCGGUCGGUUCCC
rnacentral:tRNA from 1 species